UACGUCGGGUGCGAGCGUUGUCCGGAAUUCUUGGGCGUAAAGGGCUCGUAGGCGGUCUGUCACGUCGAACGUGAAAACUCAGGGCUUAACCCUGAGCCUGCUUCCGAUACGGGCAGACUAGAGGUAUGCAGGGGAGAAUGGAAUUCCUGGUGUAGCGGUGAAAUGCGCAGAUAUCAGGAGGAACACCAGUGGCGAAGGCGGUUCUCUGGGCAUUACCUGACGCUGAGGAGCGAAAGUGUGGGGAGCGAACAGG
rnacentral:rRNA from 1 species